UACGGAGGGGACUAGCGUUGUUCGGAAUUACUGGGCGUAAAGCGCACGUAGGCGGAUUUGUAAGUCAGGGGUGAAAUCCCGGGGCUCAACCUCGGAACUGCCUUUGAUACUGCAAAUCUCGAGUCCGGAAGAGGUGAGUGGAAUUCCUAGUGUAGAGGUGAAAUUCGUAGAUAUUGGGAAGAACACCAGUGGCGAAGGCGGCUAACUGGUCCAGAUCUGACGCUGAGGUGCGAAAGCGUGGGGAGCAAACAGG
rnacentral:rRNA from 1 species